UAGGGAAUCUUCCACAAUGGGCGAAAGCCUGAUGGAGCAACGCCGCGUGUGUGAUGAAGGGUUUCGGCUCGUAAACACUGUUGUAAGAGAAGAAUGACAUUGAGAGUAACUGUUCAAUGUGUAACGGUAUCUUACCAGAAAGGAACGGCUAAAUACGUGCCAG
rnacentral:rRNA from 1 species